rnacentral:rRNA from 1 species
AUUGAACGCUGGCGGCAUGCUUUACACAUGCAAGUCGAACGGCAGCGCGGGCUUCGGCCUGGCGGCGAGUGGCGAACGGGUGAGUAAUGCAUCGGAACGUGCCCAGUAGUGGGGGAUAGCCCGGCGAAAGCCGGAUUAAUACCGCAUACGACCUGAGGGUGAAAGCGGGGGACCGAAAGGCCUCGCGCUAUUGGAGCGGCCGAUGUCGGAUUAGCUAGUUGGUGGGGUAAAGGCUUACCAAGGCGACGAUCCGUAGCUGGUCUGAGAGGACGACCAGCCACACUGGGACUGAGACACGGCCCAGACUCCUACGGGAGGCAGCAGUGGGGAAUUUUGGACAAUGGGGGCAACCCUGAUCCAGCCAUGCCGCGUGCGGGAAGAAGGCCUUCGGGUUGUAAACCGCUGUUGUUCGGGAAGAAAUCCUCUGGGCUAAUACCCCGGGGGGAUGACGGUACCGGAAGAAUAAGCACCGGCUAACUACGUG